CCCUUAGAUGUCCGGGGCCGCACGCGCGCUACACUGAAGGAAUCAGCGUGGUCUUCUCCCUGACCCGAAAGGGUUGGGAAACCCGUUGAAUCUCCUUCGUGAUAGGGAUUGGGGCUUGAAAUUGUUCCCCAUGAACGAGGAAUUCCCAGUAAGCGCGAGUCAUAAGCUCGCGUUGAUUACGUCCCUGCCCUUUGUACACACCGCCCGUCGCUACUACCGAUUGAACGGUUUAGUGAGGGCCUCGGAUUGGUCUCGGCCCGCUCUUUACCGGGCGGCGCCGUUGGUCGAGAAGACGCUCGAACUUGAUCGUUUAGAGGAAGUAAAAGUCGUAACA
rnacentral:rRNA from 1 species